rnacentral:rRNA from 1 species
GACGAACGCUGGCGGCGUGCUUAACACAUGCAAGUCGAACGGAAAGGCCCUGCUUUUGUGGGGUGCUCGCGUGGCGAACGGGUGAGUAACACGUGAGUAACCUGCCCUUGACUUUGGGAUAACUUCAGGAAACUUGGGCUAAUACCGGAUAGGAGCUCCUGCUGCCUGGUGGGGGUUGGAAAGUUUCGGCGGUUGGGGAUGGACUCGCGGCUUAUCAGCUUGUUGGUGGGGUAGUGGCUUACCAAGGCUUUGACGGGUAGCCGGCCUGAGAGGGUGACCGGCCACAUUGGGACUGAGAUACGGCCCAGACUCCUACGGGAGGCAGCAGUGGGGAAUAUUGCACAAUGGGCGGAAGCCUGAUGCAGCAACGCCGCGUGCGGGAUGACGGCCUUCGGGUUGUAAACCGCUUUCGCCUGUGACGAAGCGUGAGUGACGGUAAUGGGUAAAGAAGCACCGGCUAACUACGUG